rnacentral:rRNA from 1 species
GAUGAACGCUAGCUACAGGCUUAACACAUGCAAGUCGAGGGGCAGCGGUAUCGAAAGCUUGCUUUCGGUAGCCGGCGACCGGCGCACGGGUGAGUAACGCGUAUCGAACCUGCCUCAUACUCGGGAAUAGCCUUGCGAAAGUAAGAUUAAUGCCCGGUGUUUUCAGAGUCCCGCAUGAGGCUUUGAACAAAGAUUUAUCGGUAUGAGAUGGCGAUGCGUCCCAUUAGCUUGUUGGCGGGGUAACGGCCCACCAAGGCAUCGAUGGGUAGGGGUUCUGAGAGGAAGGUCCCCCACAUUGGAACUGAGACACGGUCCAAACUCCUACGGGAGGCAGCAGUGAGGAAUAUUGGUCAAUGGGCGGAAGCCUGAACCAGCCAAGUAGCGUGCAGGAAGACGGCCCUCCGGGUUGUAAACUGCUUUUAGUUGGGAAUAAAACGGGGCUCGUGAGCCCCCUUGCAUGUACCAUCAGAAAAAGGACCGGCUAAUUUCGUG